AAAAUUAAAUGUUUUCAGAAUAAAGAAACCGUCAGAAUUAUCAACUUACUAAGAGAUCGAUUUGAUAUGGAUGAAAAAUUAUUCAAAAAACUAGUGAAGUUUUCUUCUCACCUUCCAUAUUUGACUGUUGAAUUCGCCUGCUGUGGAAUAAUACCACUAGAUCGCGCUCUUUUGAUUAUUGUUUCCACCACUAUUGCCUCGUAUCUCGUUAUUUCUGUUCAAUUCUACAUCAGCUUAUCUGCCAAUUAAUUCAAAAUUAUUUAUUUCAACAAAAAUAUCUGGUAAUUUUUGGAGUUAAUUAUAAACAAGUUUGUAUUGUUCCAUUUUUGAGAAAUAAUACUGUAUUAUAAAUCAUAAUCCGAGAAUCAAGUGUUGUCAAUUUUAAUUUACUAAAAACUAUUGAUUUAUACAAACGCGAAGAAAAUUAAAUAACUUAGUAUGCGACUAAUAUUUAGUUGUUGCUGUGCAAUUCCAUAUCGAUUUUUUUUAUUGACAAUGAUCAGAGUUGUAAAGCGGAAAGCUUUUCUUCUAGCACGCAAUUUUUAGACUAUAUUACAC